GGGCCAUCACCUUCUUUGCCUGCAGAGUUGUUGUGUGCAGUUGUCACAGUUUCCCAAGUCACUCUCUUGACUGGUAGAAUAAAAUAUAACCAGACUCUGAAUUUUUUGAUAUAUCAGAGGUCAGUCCAUAAAAUUCUUCAAUAGCUUGAGCAUCUAUUUUCUCUACAAUGUCAUCAUCAAACAAGAGCCAAAAUCCAUGACUUUUCACAAUAGUAAUAUAAUGCCCACGAUUCGGUCCACUUCCACAGUGAACAACAACAGCUACUAAGUCG
rnacentral:lncRNA from 1 species